CGAAGGUAUCCUCCUCAAGCCAAGCAUGGUCACCCCCGGCGCCGAGUGCAAAGAGAAGGCCACACCGGAGCAGGUCGCCGACUACACCCUGAAGCUCCUGCACAGAAGAGUCCCAUCUGCUGUUCCUGGCAUUAUGGUACGCAGCACCACCAUGAUCAUCUUGUUCGCUUCUCUCAUAGAGGUGAUGAUUGAUGCCCAUUCACCUGUAAAUGUUUUGGCGAACAGUUCCUCUCCGGUGGACAGUCGGAAGUGGAGGCAACCCUGAACCUGAAUGCCAUGAACCAGAGCCCCAACCCAUGGCACGUCUCCUUCUCUUACGCGAGAGCUCUGCAGAACACCUGCCUGAAGACAUGGGGAGGAAGACCGGAGAACGUGAAGGCUGCGCAGGAUGUGCUCCUAGUCCGGGCCAAGGCCAACUCGCUCGCUCAGCUCGGGAAGUACUCAGCCGAGGGCGAAGCUGCAGAAGCUAAAGAGGGGAU
rnacentral:lncRNA from 1 species